CACGUAGUUAGCCGUGGCUUAUUCGACAGGUACCGUCUUCUGCUCUUCUCUGUCAAAAGAAGUUUACAACCCGAAAGCCUUCUUCCUUCACGCGGCGUUGCUGGGUCAGGCUUGCGCCCAUUGCCCAAUAUUCCCCACUGCUGCCUCCCGUAGGAGUCUGGGCCGUAUCUCAGUCCCAAUGUGGCCGGCCAACCUCUCAGUCCGGCUACUGAUCGUCGCCUUGGUAGGCCGUUACCCUACCAACUAGCUAAUCAGACGCGAGGCCAUCUCUCAGCGAUAAAUCUUUGGUAUCAAUGCCAUGCGACACAAAUACGUUAUGCGGUAUUAGCAGUCGUUUCCAACUGUUGUCCCCCACUGAAAGGCAGGUUCCUCACGCGUUACUCACCCGUCCGCCACUAAGCAGUCCUCUCCAUUGACCGAAAUCUCUUUCGAGGGUACUCCGUUCGACUUGCAUGUGUUAAGCACGCCGCCAGCGUUCGUCCUGAGCCAGGAUCAAACUCU
rnacentral:rRNA from 1 species